rnacentral:rRNA from 1 species
GCAAGUCGAACGAUGAACCACCUUCUGGUGGGGAUUAGUGGCGAACGGGUGAGUGCACGUGGGCGAUCUGCCCUGCACUCUGGGACAAGCCCUGGAAACGGGGUCUAAUACCGGAUACUGACCUGCCAAGGCAUCUUGGCGGGUCGAAAGCUCCGGCGGUGCAGGAUGAGCCCGCGGCCUAUCAGCUUGUUGGUGAGGUAAUGGCUCACCAACGCGACGACGGGUAGCCGGUCUGAGAGGGAGACCGGCCACACUGGGACUGAGACACGGCCCAGACUCCUACGGGAGGCAGCCGUGGGGAAUAUUGCACAAUGGGCGAAAGCCUGAUGCAGCGACGCCGCGUGAGGGAUGACGGCCUUCUGGUUGUAAACCUCUUUCAGCAGGGAAGAAGCGAAAGUGACGGUACCUGCAAAAGAAGCGCCGGCUAACUACGUGCCAGCAGCCGCGGUAAUACGUAGGGCGCAAGCGUUGUCCGGAAUUAUUGGGCGUAAAGAGCUCGUAGGCGGCUUGUCUCGUCCGUUGUGAAAGCCCGGGGCUUAACCCCGGGUCUGCAGUCGAUACGGGCAGGCUACAGUUCGGUAGGGGAGAUCGGAAUUCCUGGUGUAGCGGUGAAAUGCGCAGAUAUCAGGAGGAACACCGGUGGCGAACGCGGAUCUCUGGACCAAUACUGACGCUGAAGAGCAAAAGCUUGUGUAGCGAACAGGAUUAGAUACCCUGGUAGUCCACGCCGUAAACGGUGGGUACUAUGUGUGGGCAACAUUCCACGUAGUACGUGCCGCAGCUAACGCAUUAAGUGCCCCGCCUGGUGAGUACGGCCGCUAGGCUACUACUCAUGGGAAUUGACGGGGCCCCACUCAAGCUGCGGAGCAUGUGGCUUAGUUCGACGCAGCGCGGAGAACCCUUACCAAGGCUCGACAUACAC